UACGUAGGGUGCAAGCGUUGUCCGGAUUUAUUGGGCGUAAGAGCUCGUAGGCGGUUUGUCGCGUCGGAUGUGAAAACCCAGGGCUCAAUCCUGGGCCUGCAUUCGAUACGGGCAGACUAGAGUAUGGCAGGGGAGACUGGAAUUCCUGGUGUAGCGGUGAAAUGCGCAGAUAUCAGGAGGAACACCGGUGGCGAAGGCGGGUCUCUGGGC
rnacentral:rRNA from 1 species